GAGGAGGUGGAGGUGGAGAAGGAGGACGAGAACAAGGAAGGGGAAGGGCAAGGACAAGGAGACAAGCAGUUUUGGAUGAAAUUCGAGCCACUUUAGUUGACCUUGUCCUUGUCCAUGGUAUGAAUAUGAGGGAGGCUGGGCAACGAGUACAGCCAAAUUUGAAUUGCUUCACAUCAGAACCUUCAGGGAGGAAAACAGUGUUCACCUCCUCUAGGCCAUGGAAGAAGCAUGCCUAGACAUAUGCGUGCCAGGGGUGGAUCAGGAAGUCAUGUAGAGGAUUUUACCCCCGCUGCCUGGCUAGGGCCAAUCGUGAUGUGGAUGAGAUUCUCUGGCCUGACCCAGACCACAAGCAACAUAACUUACCAGUUUUGGAAAUGUUGUUUUGAAUUUAUUGCACCAGUGUGAAAGACUAUGUUGUAGUGUAUGUGGUUUUGAGGGCUUAUGUGUGAUGUCUGAGGGCAAAGUUUGGUUUUUCAGCAAGAGUGAAUGGUUUUGAGUGUAGAGCUUCAUUUUGACCUGAAGUUGAAUCUACCUAAAUCACUUUUGUAGCAUUAACUGAAACUGGGCUAUGCAUAGGGCUGGAUCAGGAGAGUAAAUAUUGAAAUUAAGUGUUAUUUUAUGUUUUUGAGUUGUACAGCCACAGUACAGCUGUACUAACUUCAGUGAAGUGAGUAACAUAUUACUUUUUCAUUGCAAACAUUUGCUAUGCAAACUACAGCAGCUCUAUUAGCUUACAAGAACAGUCAAAAGUUCACAAUCUGUACAACUAAUCUUUAAUCAGUUGUGCAAUGUAUUGACAACUGUUAGGUCAUUUCUUUAGUGUGUCAUAGCUCUUAAAUCUAGUGUUUAUUCAACACAUGAGGGUGAAAUUUACCCAAACUAAUAAUUGAGUGCAAAAAGUUACCACAGUUUUAUUUAGUAGAUUCUAUUUUUACGGUGUACCUGUAGUGUACUUAAAACCUUAAAAGUAUAUUUUUAAAAAGCUCUACCAGCAUAUGAUAAAAUAUUAAUGAAAUAAAAUGCACUUAAAGACGACUUUCAUUACAGUUUCUUAACACACUUAAAUACACUUUUAAAAGUGCAGUUAGUAAUCAUGUCAAAUUAAAAGUUUUACUUUAAAGUACAUUUUUAAAUCACUGCUUUAAUAAUCUUUUGUCACGCUUAAAAGAAGUACACUUAUCCCGAUGUGUUGACUAACAUACCAAAGCACAUGUAAAGUACUUGAUUAUAAUUUGAACUGCCAAAAGCAAGUCUCUUGCUUUUUUUUUUUUUUUUUUGUACUUUGUCAAAUGAUUAAAUGAUCCGUUACGUUGUCCUCUUUAUUGCUGCUUAGUGAUUUUUGCGUUCUUUGGCUACAGCAGUUAACGGUUUACUUUCAGUCGCCGUUGUGUCAGCAGUUGUUGCUUAUAUGCAAUAGUGUGUCAUAGCUGGUUGCCAAGGAUGGGGAGUUAAGGUGAGGAUCUAGUAAUCCAAAGACUAAGGCACUCGGGAAUACAGUCAGGAGCAAAAAGACACUCUAAAAACUGAACCAAAGGGUAACAUAAAUACACAAGAUAAUGACUGAUCAAUCAGCUAAUAAGAAAGCAUCCAAAAACACAGAGGUUAAACUCGGGUAAAUAGACUAAACUCAAAGAAGCAAAACACAGUGAGGAUACGAAUCAGAAGACAAUGAUUUCAUUCCACAGUAGACGAGCUCAGACAUGUUCACCUCCAUAACUUUAGCUCUUUGCACUUACAGACACUUUCAAGAAUGCAGACUUAAAAUGUUGAUGGGAUGAGGCAAAUAUAUUUUACUAAUUAUGACUAGUUAUUGUAGUUAUUAUAUGUCAUCACUAACUAAACAUAAUACUUUAGGUGGAAGCCAGAAUGGUGAAUCAGAAGCCUCAUUUAGAAAACACACAGAGAACACAUCUGUAGCAGCAAACCCCAUACCAUCAGUUGCUAUGCAAAAAAAAAAAAAAAAAAAAAAAAGAGGAAGGAAGGGGUGUGGAGUGUUUUGUUUUUGUGUGGGUUUUUCAAGUCUUCAAGUGUAUGUGGAGCGGCAGGAAGAGAAGAGAUCGUUCUGUGUGAAUGAGGCCAGUUGAGGAUGUGCCUCGCUGUAAACUCUCAUAAUAAAUAGGGUUACAUGAAAUAUUCUAUAUUUUGAUAUAAAUAUAUUUGUAUACAUUUAAGAGUGAGCUAUAAUUAUUUGGGGAAUCACUUUUAUAAGAGAAAUUAUGACUGUCCACAUCUCCAAAACGAUUCAGUUACAUCAGGGCCAUUAUAUGACAUUACAUGAUAUUUUUUUCAAUAAAACUGACAGUAAAGUUUCUGUCUCCUCCCACAGAAUCUCUGGUGUAGUAAUAUGCCCUCUUUUUUCUUCAUAGUUUCCUCCCUAUGAAUCAGUACAAUGACACUCAGUGUAAUAUCCUUAUGAGCGUCUGAUUAAUAAGACUUCCAAGGUCAUUGCACAGCAGGAAACUUGGAUCUGACCUGCCUCAAUCAUUAGAGUGGUUGGAAGAGCCAAAAUACCUGAAAAAAUGUUCCAGGCUAAACACCCAAAGCAUUCCAGAGAGGACAUCUUACACAAAAACAAUGAUUAAUGAACUUCAUGUUUUUAUAAAUGAGAAGAGAAAGCCUGAGAAAAGCACGUUCAUCUGACAGAUACCUGAUAAUCUUAGCUAACACUUACCAAAACGACAUACCCAAAACUGUUCUAAGGAAUAUGUUGUUACUGAACUGCUCCUGCUUUUCUUUAAUACAGUAUGUCUGUGUUGUUACUGCCAAACUAAUAUACAUUGAUUAAUCUAAGUUAAUUAAAUAAUCUAAUUUCUACAUAAAGUAUGUCACAACCACAAAUGCAGUCUGUUGAAACAAACAGCACUCAAAGAUGUUUUUGUGUCGUCACUGAAUCCACCACGAAAACAUUCACAGACCAGGGUGGAAAAAAGUACCUGGUUUGACCAAACAUUUCCAUCGCCAAUGUACCUGCUCAGCCAAGAGGCCUGUUUCAGUUCAGCAAUAUUCCCGGAAUGUCUGGUGUUAAUCGCUCUCCUGCCAAAGCGUCCCAGUCAGUUGAGGUCAAGACUUGGACUAGGACCACAUAUGAAGUUGUGUUUUCAUCUCAGUCUCAAUUGGUGGAGAAAUGUUUCACUCUCAUGCAAGAUUUCCUGAUAAAAUUGGGAAGAAAUUUUUCCAUUCAUGAUUGCAAGCUGUCCUGGCCCUGAUGUUGGUGUGCUUAUAUAUAUAUAUAUAUAUAUAUAUAUGAAAGGGUGUACAUGGUCUGCAACAAUGCUUAGGUAGUUGGUACGUCCACAUGGAUGGCAGGACCCAAGGUUUCCCAGCAGAACAUUGCCCAAAGCAUCACACUGCCUCCGCCAGCUUGCCUUCUUCCCAUAGUGCAUCCUGGUGCCAUGUGUUCCCCAGGUGAGCGACGCACACGCACCCGGCCAUCCACGUGAUGUAAAAGAAAACGUGAUUCAUCAGACCAGGCCUCCUUCUUCCAUUGCUAUGCAGCCCCAUAUGCAACAAACUGAUCCACUGUGUAUUCUGACACCUUUCUAUCAGAACCAGCAUUAACUUCUUCAGCAAUUUGAGCUACAGUAGCUCGUCCGUUGGAUCGGACCACACGGGCCAGCCUUCGCUCUCCACGUGCAUCAGUGAUCUUGGCCGCCCAUGACCCUGUCACUGGUUCACCACUGUUCCUUCCUUGGACCACUUUAGAUUGAUACUGACCACUGCAGACCGGGAACACCCCACAAGAGCUGCAGUUUUGGAGAUGCUCUGACCCAGUCGUCUAGCCAUCACAAUUUGGCCCUUGUCAAACUCACUUAAAUCCUUACGCUUGCCCAUUUUGCAGGUGAUCAUAAGAGACUUCCAUUAAAAAAAACAUUAAAAAAAUUCUUAAUUAUUCCAAACUUUAGACUGAUACAGUACUGGUUUCAAUCUUUUACAGAAAAUUUGCCAGAAUCUCUGUGGAAUACGCAAACCUCAUACAUGCGCCGUUGACUUCCUCCCGUCAUGAAUCAUGUUCUUAUUUUGUGUUUUACAUACCAUAUACACACUAACAGAGAUGCUAGCAUGUCUCAGAAAUUACUGUAUGUCUUGGGUUUUUUCUUUAUUGCACUGUGAAUCUUUACAUGGUAUGUUCAACAAAAACAUGAAAAUGUAUUAAUGUUUGUGUAUUAUUUGUUUAAGCAGACUGUCUGUUAUUGUCACCUAGUUGAAGAUCAGAUUACAUUUUAUAAGAAACUUAUGUUGAAAUCCAUGCUAAAACACAACACUUUUGCAACAUAUUAUACUCAAAUAUGCCUCCCAUCUCAUACUUAACCCAAACACAAGUUUAGACACAACUGUGGCAUCUGGUCUAUGACUGUCAAAUACCUGUGUUGUAAUUUACUGUGAUCUUAGUACCCAUUGCAUUUUAAUAUCACACACACACACACACACACACAAACAUGCACACACAAGGCCACAUGGUUGGUGUAUUUUUGUACACAGCUCUAACAGAGGAAAAAUACGGGAAGUAUAUAUAUAUAUAUAUAUACGAGCAAUUUCACACUCGUAGCCGUGCGAUAUGACUGUAUAUCAACACGGCUGUGAUUCAGCCGUAAGUAAUCACAGCGUGCUGAUAUACAGCCAUAUCGAACGGCUACAAAUGUGAUAUUGUGUUUAUACAACAGUUCGACGGCACGAGUGUGUAAACAAAUAAGAAAUAACAACGGAGUGUCUUUAAAACCCUCUUUUGUACAGAACUACUUCCUGCUGCCACUGAUUCAAAUCUCAAGUUGACAGUUUGACCAAACCUCCAUUACUAAUUCUAAAACGUCACUUUAGAACUAUAUCAAAGGAAUGUUGAGUCCCUCCAUUGAAACUUACUGUAUUUUGUACAUUAUUACUGAGAGAGAGAGAGAGAGAAAGAGCGAGCGAUUGCGCAUUGCGUGACUAUGUGUAUUCAGUGUGUAUUAGUGUUACCUGUAGAUUUCAAUUUCUGUAGCCACUCCGCAGUCUGAAGCCUUUUGCUUUUGACUAUGGGUGAAUCUCCAGUUGUCUCUGAUGAUUGUCAUUUGGACCUUUCUGGAUUACAAUCCGCCAUCAAAACGAUAAGUUUAAUUAUUGCAGCUGCUGUGAGAAAGGCUAUAAAUGAUCCGUCACCUGCAGCAUCCUCACAUGAUAUAGCUACUAGCUGGGACUCCUUCUUCAUGUAAACAGACGUGACGUAAUGACGCAAAGAUGAACGGCAGCAUGCUCGAAUUUCCCGCGGAAACCCACCAGUACCACUCUUAUUAGAAAACGUUAUUACAAGCUUACCGUUGUGAAUCGAGCUAAGGUAAGGAGAUAGUUUUAAACACUUAUGUAUAUGCUCAAAAAUUGAUUUAGGAUAAUUUUUAACCAAAAAAAGUUACGGACUGCAGCUUUAAACAAAAUACCUUACACACCAGUUGAGUAACAGAAACAGCAUCAUCUCCACAUCGCUUUUAAAACAUUUUGAAUCCCUCAGUUCUCGCCAUCUCCGAAAAGCCAAGCCAAUGUUGAUUCUGGUUUUAUCACGAGCUCCGUCGAGUUCUCUUUUUGCCAGCAGACUCUCCUUUGUUCAGCAUUUGCUUAAAAACAGGAGAUUAGCGGCUCCAUGUCAACCUUUCUCGCACGUUGUGACAACUAACCUAUGCCACACCCACAACAGACAUGCAUCAGAGCAACCGGAGCAACUUUUCUCUAUUUACAGAUAUGAUGAGACACGCACGGGCGAGUGACGUAUAUACACAAUUUCCCGCGAAAACCAUCCCGCCCGGUCUAAAAUAUAAACACUUAUGACAGGCUUACUAUAGUGAAUCAGGGUAAGACAAAAACACGUUUGGAAGAAGGACUGGCGAUGUAUUGACUCGACUUGACUUGUUAAUUUUGAACAACAACAACAAAAGAGUAUGUAGUUGUAGGCCUACAUUUGAUUUACAUUUAUUAACAUUCUUCAAAGUCCUCCAUGAAAAAUUAUAUUUUUCUUAUGUUUCUCAGAGACUAUAAGACCUGAGUAAAUGCAAUGCAUUUUCAAUGACAUUUGCUUUAUUUAUUUAUUUAUUUCAAUUUGACCCCAAAUAUGAAAACGCACUGAAUAACGAUCAGUUUUCUGAAAAGUAUAUCGUAUAUCAAAAUAAAGAAGGCCUAAUCAGUAGCCUAUUUAUUUUGCACAAAAAAAUGCAUAAGCACAGAGGGGGGAAAAACUUAAGACACUUAAAAAAAUAAUUAAAGUUAAAAUCAGCAAAUUCUUACGUAUAGGUUAGAUGAGGACAGGGAGCAUAGUCCUGACGUGUCUUUUUUUCUUUCUUUUUUUUCUCUGACAAACAGUUAAGUCGUUGACUUAUAUGGCACAACCCACCUCAUAACUGAUCAAAGCAACAUCAGACAAAAUGGAGCGACAUUUCCACGAAUUGUAGAAACCGGCCAUAGUUAGGUAAAAGAAGAAAAUGGGAACUUAUCAUGGCCCGUUAAACUCGUACCGGACAUUUUAGGUGAAAUGCAUCUGUUUCAGCCAGUCAUAUCUGAAGAGCUUAAAGGAUUAUGAACGUGCUUUUUGAUGAAUGCUCAUCAAUUCUGUCGCGAUGUUUUCGAAAGGACCUUUAUGGAUCUUGAGAGAGGAAAUGUCAUUGCUCCCUAUGUAGGCCUCACUGAGCCAUCAGAUUUAAACAAAAAUAUCUCAAUUUGUGUUCCGAAGAUCAACGAAGGUCUUAUGGGUGUAAAACAGCACAAGGGUGAGUAAUUAAUGACAGAAUUUUCAUUUUUGGGUGAACUAACCCUUUAAGUAUUGAGAAAUGUCUCCUAAAACAACAACAACAACAAAAAUGUGUAUAUAUAUAUAUAUAUAUAUAUAUAUACACUGGCCAUUAACAACAAAUCACAAAAGCAACUUUGAGCACAAUUAAAUAAAAAUGUUUGUACCAAUAAAUAUUGUGGUUAAAUAACAAUUGAAGAAUAUCCAGGGACUCACCGCACCUCAAAACAUCACAAAAAAGCCCACACACUCUAACAAUGAGGCUUUUUUGGCAUUGAGAAAGAUCACAACGUGACCAAAACAUUUGCCGUUAUCUCGCAAUUGUUGGUUUCCCUCAUUGUUAAAGUGUGCGGGCUGAUUAAAUAAUAAAAUAGAAAUAUUGUGAUUAUAUAACAAAUAAAAUAAUUUAUUACUAUAUAAAUAUGAAUAAAAUAACAUACUAACAACAUAAAACAUGCACUUUCUUGCACUUCAACUUUCUACACGUUCAACUAUUAAGGCUUCCUGACAGCAAAGUUUAGAAACCUCCAAACUCCUUUUCAUAUACGCUUACAUGAAAAAUGUAGUCAUUUUUUUGAGUAAAGAACACUUUCUAAGUAUUUUCCUGCAUUCUCACAUUUCUUUAGUGCUCUUAAGAGAUGUAUCUUGGCACCUUGCUGUGUUUUUUUUCUACAAUUUAAAAGUAGCACCACUCCACACUAUGUUUCCUUUCUGUCAUUCUCUCCAUCUCUCUCAGUUUCAAACGGAAGUGUGUGUCUCUGCACUUGUGUGACUGUGUGUGGCUGUACGCUUGCUUCUCACAGUCGUGAUUUGGCACAAACUGUAAACAAAAGUACAGAGAACAUUUAAAAGUGAUGCAGAAACUCACGUACUUUUAUAUUACAGUAAUAUAAUUUUAAUAUAAAUAUAUAUUUUUAAAGGAAACGAUACAGAAUAAGGCAAGAAAAUCAAGACAAGAAGUAGGGAUGGGUGCUAAAAAUUAAGAUUGGACUUUUACAGUUUUUCUCAAUCGAUUUGACACAUUUCUUCAAACUCAAGUCAUUGUUCUCUAUACAGUUAACACAGGGAUCUGAACACUUUGUAAUUGUCCUAAACAGGUUGUAAAUUUUCCUUCAUUUCAUGACGUUUAUCUGAGUGAAGCGCUUCUGGAACAAGAACAAAGAAGAGAAGAGAUGAGAUGCUGCCAGAGGGAGGGGAAUUUAAUGUUUUUGAUUGAAGAUUAUAAGGGCAGAAUUUUUAUUAUUAUUAUUAUUAUUAUUAUUAUUUUUAAAGGGUUAUUUCACCCAAAAAUGAAAAUUCUGUCAUUAAUUAGUCACUCUCAUGUUGUUCCACACCCGUAAGACCUUCGUUCAUCUUCGGAACACAAAUUAAGAUAUUUUUGAUAAAAUCUGAUGGCUCAGUGAGGCCUCCAUUGCCAGCAAUACAGUAUAAUUUACACUUUGAAAUGCCCAGUAAGUUACUAAAGACAUACUGUAUUUAAAACAGUUCAUGUGACUACAGUGGUUCAACCUUAAUGAAGAGACGAGAAUAAACAAAAUAACGACUUUAUUCAACAAUAUCUACUGAUGGGCGAUUUCAAAACACUGCUUCAUGAAGCUUCAAAGCUUUACGAAUCUUUUGUUUUGAAUCAGUGGUUUGGAGCAUGUAUCAUAACUGAACAAUAAACACUAACAGGUCUUUCUCUUCGCUCAAAAACACAUAAAAUAACAGCCAAUUUCAACAUUUACUCUCCCAGUUCAAUCUUAUGCAAAUGCACUGCUCAGUUUUAGUUAAUGCAAGAAAAAUUAUUAAUGAAGUCCCAACACAGAUGGACUAUGUUACUUAUGAAAGUGGAUUGAAUUCAAUAAAAUUAAAUUGUGACAAAAUGUUCACCAAUUGUGUUGCUUCAGCUCAUUUUAUAAAAGUAAAUCAAGCUGCAAAAAUGUGUUUCUUUGAGUCUGACUUCUUGUGUUGUGGAUGUGCAGGAGACCAGAGUUCACAUCCCAACCACAAGUGCAUUUGUCCAUUAAAGCUAAAAGAUUUAUUAGAGACAACCAUAAAAUGUGUUU